CCUAUGGGAAGCUUGCCAUUUUCGUGUUUGGAGCUUGGGCAGGCGCCGACCAUGGCGGUGUGCUUGCAGGCCUUGCGGCCUGCGGCCUCAUGAUGAUUGUCGUCGCCACUGCCUCAGAUCUCAUGCAGAACUUCAAGACCGGAUACCUAACACUAGCUUCUCCCAGGUCGAUGUUCGCGAGCCACGUCAUCGGCACUGCCAUGGGUUGCGUGAUCGCUCCCUGUGUUUUCUGGCUUUUCUACAAGGCCUUCGAUGACAUCGGCAUUUCCGGCAGUCAAUACCCAGCACCUAAUGCUCCCAUCUACCGCGACAUGGCGAUCCUCGGAAUUGAUGGCUUCUCGUCACUUCCAAAGCACUGCCUCUCUCUCUUCUACUUGUUCUUCGCGCUCGCUAUCGCCAUCAACUUGGCGAAGGACGUGUCGCCCAACAGGAUAGCAAGGUUUAUCCCAAUCCCAAUGGCGAUGGCUAUACCUUUCUACAUCGGAGCAUCCUUCGCCAUCGACAUGUGCAUCGGAAGCGUGAUACUGUACGUGUGGACAAAGAUGAACAAGGGCAAGGCGUCUGCGUUUGGUCCUGCCGUGGCCUCCGGUUUGAUCUGCGGCGAUGGGAUGUGGGGUGUCCCUCAAGGAGUGCUUGCUCUGGCUCAGGUGAAUCCGCCAAUGUGCAUGAAGUUUGUCCAUGGAGAAUGAAUGGCCAAGAAGAUGUUCGCAUCUAUCACCUUAUCCUACUUUCCUCCUCGGUGGCAAACGAGAACGAAACAGGACACACAGUGGAUUUCCAUCCCAUCCAUAUAUCCACUGAAUUGGCCUGUGUUCAUCAGUCUCAUGUAUAUAUUAUAUAUCAGAUAAGGUUUUGAACUUUCAGUAUUUGAUAUACAGGUGUGACAUAUCACUAUUAGAUGAAUAUAAAUAUUUACCUCUUAUUUUUCUGAUGAGAAAGAAUAAUACAAAUCAAGGAAUGAAAUAUCAUAUCGUAUCGACGUUUCGAUAAUAUAUCAUUACAUAUAUCGUACAAUACGAUAUAAUAUAUCGAACGAUACGUAUCGUUUGAUACGGACGAUAUUAUUUGAAAUUAUAUAAAUAACAUGUCUACUGGCUUCAGAAAUAAUAAAUAAUGGUGACAAACACAUAUACAGGAUAUCCUGACAAAACAAAGUUCAUCAUCCUCUGCAUUGGAAUCAUCCAUCUAUUUUAGCCGAUCAAACUCCUAUAAUCUUAACUUUAGGCUUGCGGAUUUUUGUGCCCAGCGACCUGUUCUUCACGGCACCGGUCUAUUCAUUCGAUGUAUGCCUUUGAAUGACUGAUGCUCCUCACAUUUUGUCGUCAAUCAAAUCAGAAGACUCGCUUCAAGUCAGUCUACCUUUUGUCUUGAUACCAUCACGAAUGUAGAUUGAUAGAUCAUGUCUCAUCUACCAAGCAAGGGUAUAGGAUGUUCUGCCUUGGAAUCCAUGGAUUCAUCUUCAGAUAAAGAUUCUUGCUGAACCGACACUUCAUCUUCAUCGUUCCCACGCCGGAGAAGUUCUUGGUCAUGUGAACUGGUCGCUUCAGUUCCACACUCAGAUCCGUCAGCCGUCAGCAGAAGACCUUUCCUCGAUUCCUUCGUGCGAGGCAUCUCCAAUCUUUCAUUCAGAAAACAUACUUUGGGAUGUGAACUGUGAUCGUCAAGUUAAUAUGCAACAAAUGAGAUUAAUAGUGGGGAGUGGACCGAUGGGGACAGCCAAUGGAAAUGGCCAUCGAUUUGCGAGUGGAAUAUGAGGAAUCCUCAGUCCAUGAAAGAAGCAUUAUCGUUUUUCCAAGGCUUUUGGAGGCCAGUCACUCUCAGGGCAGCUCAGCCAGUCGCAUAGCUCCGGUAUUGCUUGCACUCUUCCGUUUCCUCAUCCGGUGUGAACAACAGCUCGUGAUUCCUUCCAAAGCAUGGCUUUGGAAGUAGAUCCGAUCACUGUUCUUUGAAAAUGAACUCAAAUCAAUAAAAAAUUAGAACUGAACAAGAUCAACGAUUCCAUAGUUCUUAAAGGAAUCCAUGAUUGAUCCAACGGCAUCUCGUCAUGUUGGAUGCAGAUAUGAAACUGUCGAAAGGUGGAAGAGGAAGAACUUGUGGGCAGGAACGAGAUCCAAGCCAGAUUCCAAGGAGAUGGUGCUGAUGCGUUGACCGUCGUGAGUAGUCUUCGUCUCUUCUUCCCUCGAUUCUCCGUCACUUUCAUGGUUCACUUACCAGUUGUUCUUGAAGCCACCACCACCGUCUAGAUAUAGUCUAUCGCGCACAGCACAGCAAGGGGAACGGCAUGGAGAACGAAGAGAACGGGGUGGAGGGGCGGCCCGCGAUGGAGAACCCAAAGAAGGAAGAGGAGGAGGAGGGGAAGCGGGGAGAGGCGGUGUCGGUGGAGCGGACGUUCGAGCGGCAGCGGGUGCCGCCGUGGCGGGAGCAACUGACGGCGCGGGCGCUGGCGGUGAGCUUCCUGCUCUCGGUCAUGUUCAGCGUGAUCGUGAUGAAGCUGAACCUGACCACCGGCAUCAUCCCCUCCCUCAACGUCGCCGCCGGCCUCCUCGGCUUCUUCUUCGUCAAGGUCUGGACCAAGGCCCUGGAGCACGCCGGCCUCCUCCGCACCCCCUUCACCCGCCAGGAGAACACCGUCAUCCAGACCUCCGUCGUCGCCGCCUACGGCCUCGCCUUCAGCGGUCAGCUCCCUUCUCUUAACCUGUUAUCCUGUUGAUGUUCGGAGACAAACAGGUUAGCGAAGUCAACAACAAUCAAACCGAAUCAAUGGAAUCUGAUUCCCUGAAUCAAACCAUGAACAUAAAUCUCCAUGCUUCUUCAUAUGAUCUUCAUGUUCCUCUGCUACCUUUCUAGACUUCGAUGCUUGAGUUGCAUACAGAGGACCAUCAUUGCGAUACGCAUCUGAAGCUUUUUGCUCGUCUUAUAUGAACAGGUGGUUUUGGAAGUUACCUUUUUGGGAUGAGCUCAAAGAUCGCCAACCAGACAACAGAAGCAAAUGAUUCACAGAACAUAAAGGACCCAAAAUUAGGGUGGAUGAUCGGAUUCAUGUUUGUUGUUAGCUUUCUUGGACUGUUUUCUCUUGUGCCACUCAGAGAGGUGAGUCCAAAUCCAGCAAUAAACUGUGUUUAACGAGCUCUUCCAUGCUGUUUGUAAUGCCGCUGCUUGAAUCUUGUCGUAGAUAAUGAUCAUCGACUACAAGCUGAUCUAUCCAAGUGGCACCGCAACUGCGUACCUCAUCAAUGGCUUCCAUACUCCUCAGGGUGAAAAGCUGGCCAAGUAACCAUCUCGAGAACAUCUAAAUCUUCCCAAUUCCUCUGCUGAACACACAACUGAUUGAUCCUUUGAUUCUUAGGAAACAGGUGCGGACAAUGGGCAAGUUCUUUGUCUACAGCUUCCUGUGGGGAUUCUUCCAGUGGUUCUACACGGCUGGUGAUGACUGCGGAUUCGAAGCUUUUCCUACCUUCGGCCUCAAAGCUUAUGCGAACAAGUAACAUCCUGUGCCACUGCUCAAGUGCUUGAGAUAACUGGAUGCAAUGCGUGACUGCGUUGUGUACUCGAUGAAUUCUCUCAGGUUUUUCUUCGAUUUCUCUGCUACUUACGUUGGAGUUGGAAUGAUCUGCCCGUAUAUAGUGAACGUAUCUCUGCUUCUGGGAGCGAUCCUUUCAUGGGGACUCAUGUGGCCUCUCAUAAACAACCAGAAGGGCCACUGGUAUUCUGCGGAUAUCCCACCGAGCAGCCUUCAUAGCUUGCAAGGUUACAGGGUAAGGUAUCAAUUGGGUGCCACCAAUCUUCUACCGUCUCUCCUGUUCAUCGUUGCCUCCAUCGAUGCAGGUGUUCUUAGCCGUCGCCUUGAUUCUUGGCGAUGGCCUCUACAACAUCCUCAAGGUCCUGCAUCGAACUAUAUACUCGUUUGUUUCCGCUGCGCGAAAACGCCCAACGAGCUCUCUUCCCAUCUCGGACGGUGGCCGUGCUGUAACGAGUCCGGCAGCUUCGUUCGACGACAAGAGGCGAACCGAGAUGUUCGUUAAAGAUCAGAUCCCGAAGUGGGUGGCAUAUGUAGGCUACAGCGCCAUUGCCAUCGUCUCCAUAGUUACGAUUCCUCACCUCUUUCCUCCGCUCAAGUGGUACCAUAUCUUGGUCGCCUAUGUGUUCGCCCCAUUGCUGGCUUUCUGCAACGCCUAUGGCUGCGGCCUCACCGAUUGGAAUCUGGCGUCCACCUACGGCAAGCUUGCCAUAUUCGUGUUUGGAGCUUGGGCAGGAGCUCACCAUGGCGGCGUGCUUGCAGGCCUUGCGGCCUGCGGCGUCAUGAUGAGCAUCGUUGCCACUGCCUCAGAUCUCAUGCAGGACUUCAAGACCGGAUACCUGACACUAGCUUCUCCCAGGUCAAUGUUCGUGAGCCAAGUCGUCGGCACCGCCAUGGGCUGUGUGAUCGCGCCGUGCGUUUUCUGGCUCUUCUACAAGGCGUUCGACGACAUCGGCAUCUCCGGCAGUCAAUACCCAGCGCCUUACGC
rnacentral:lncRNA from 1 species